rnacentral:rRNA from 1 species
GAUGAACGCUGGCGGCGUGCCUAAUACAUGCAAGUCGAACGAAACUUCUUUAUCACCGAGUGCUUGCACUCACCGAUAAAGAGUUGAGUGGCGAACGGGUGAGUAACACGUGGGCAACCUGCCCAAAAGAGGGGGAUAACACUUGGAAACAGGUGCUAAUACCGCAUAACCAUAGUUACCGCAUGGUAACUAUGUAAAAGGUGGCUAUACUACCGCUUUUGGAUGGGCCCGCGGCGCAUUAGCUAGUUGGUAGGGUAAAGGCUUACCAAGGCAAUGGUGCGUAGCCGAAUUGAGAGGUUGAUCGGCCACAUUGGGACUGAGACACGGCCCAAACUCCUACGGGAGGCAGCAGUAGGGAAUCUUCCACAAUGGGCGAAAGCCUGAUGGAGCAACGCCGCGUGAGUGAAGAAGGUCUUCGGAUCGUAAAACCCUGUUGUUAGAGAAGAAAGUGCGUGAGAGUAACUGUUCACGUUUCGACGGUAUCUAACCAGAAAGCCACGGCUAACUACGUG